AUUGAACGCUGGCGGCAUGCCUUACACAUGCAAGUCGAACGGCAGCAUGAUCUAGCUUGCUAGAUUGAUGGCGAGUGGCGAACGGGUGAGUAAUACAUCGGAACGUGCCCUGUAGUGGGGGAUAACUAGUCGAAAGAUUAGCUAAUACCGCAUACGACCUGAGGGUGAAAGUGGGGGACCGCAAGGCCUCAUGCUAUAGGAGCGGCCGAUGUCUGAUUAGCUAGUUGGUGAGGUAAAGGCUCACCAAGGCGACGAUCAGUAGCUGGUCUGAGAGGACGAUCAGCCACACUGGAACUGAGACACGGCCCAGACUCCUACGGGAGGCAGCAGUGGGGAAUUUUGGACAAUGGGCGAAAGCCUGAUCCAGCAAUGCCGCGUGUGUGAAGAAGGCCUUCGGGUUGUAAAGCACUUUUGUCCGGAAAGAAAUGGCUCUGGUUAAUACCUAGGGUCGAUGACGGUACCGGAAGAAUAAGGACCGGCUAACUACGUG
rnacentral:rRNA from 1 species